rnacentral:rRNA from 1 species
GAGUUUGAUCAUGGCUCAGGAUGAACGCUAGCUACAGGCUUAACACAUGCAAGUCGAGGGGCAGCAUUGGAGUAGCAAUACUUCAGAUGGCGACCGGCGCACGGGUGAGUAACACGUAUCCAACCUGCCGCUUACUCGGGGAUAGCCUUUCGAAAGAAAGAUUAAUACCCGAUGGUAUAAAGAGUUCGCAUGUUCUCUUUAUUAAAGAAUUUCGGUAAGCGAUGGGGAUGCGUUCCAUUAGAUUGUUGGCGGGGUAACGGCCCACCAAGUCUACGAUGGAUAGGGGUUCUGAGAGGAAGGUCCCCCACAUUGGAACUGAGACACGGUCCAAACUCCUACGGGAGGCAGCAGUGAGGAAUAUUGGUCAAUGGACGCGAGUCUGAACCAGCCAAGUAGCGUGAAGGAUGACUGCCCUAUGGGUUGUAAACUUCUUUUAUAAGGGAAUAAAGUGAGGGACGUGUCCCUUUUUGUAUGUACCUUAUGAAUAAGGAUCGGCUAACUCCGUGCCAGCAGCCGCGGUAC